GAUGAACGCUGGCGGCAUGCCUAAGACAUGCAAGUCGAACGAGGUGGCCCAAUGAAGACAGAGUGCUUGCACAAAGUUGGAUUUGGUUUACCACCUAGUGGCAGACGGGUGAGUAACACGUGGGUGACCUACCUUUAAGCUGGGGAUAACAGUUGGAAACGAUUGCUAAUACCGAAUAAGAUAUAACUGUUGUGGUUAUAUUGAAAGGAGCCUCUAAAGCUUCACUUAAAGAUGGGCCUGCGGCGUAUUAACUAGUUGGUGGGGUAAUGGCCUACCAAGGUAACGAUGCGUAGCCGAACUGAGAGGUUGAACGGCCACACUGGGACUGAGACACGGCCCAG
rnacentral:rRNA from 1 species